rnacentral:rRNA from 1 species
AUUGAACGCUGGCGGCAGGCCUAACACAUGCAAGUCGAGCGGUAACAGGGAUAGCUUGCUAUCUGCUGACGAGCGGCGGACGGGUGCGUAACGCGUAGGAAUUUGCCCGAUAGUGGGGGAUAGCCCGGAGAAAUUCGGAUUAAUACCGCAUACCUUCUACGGAAGAAAGCAGGGGAUCUUCGGACCUUGCGCUAUCGGAUGAGCCUGCGUCGGAUUAGCUAGUUGGUGGGGUAAAUGCCUACCAAGGCGACGAUCCGUAGCUGGUCUGAGAGGAUGAUCAGCCACACUGGGACUGAGACACGGCCCAGACUCCUACGGGAGGCAGCAGUGGGGAAUAUUGCACAAUGGGCGCAAGCCUGAUGCAGCCAUGCCGCGUGUGUGAAGAAGGCCCUAGGGUUGUAAAGCACUUUCAGCGAGGAGGAAGGUAGUUUGCUAAUAUCAAGCUGCAUUGACGUUACUCGCAG